GAUGAACGCUGGCGGCGUGCUUAACACAUGCAAGUCGAACGAAACACCCUAUUUGAUUUUCUUCGGAACUGAAGCUUUGGUGAUUGAGUGGCGGACGUGUGAGUAACGCGUGGUUAACCUGCCCUGUACAGGGGGAUAACAGUCAGAAAUGACUGCUCAUACCGCAUAAGACCACAGCACCGCAUGGUGCAGGGGUAAAAACUCCGGUGGUACAGGAUGGCCCCGCGUCAGAUUAGCUGGUUGGUGAGGUAACGGCUCACCAAGGCGACGAUCAGGAGCCGGGUGGAGAGAGUGAACGAAUACGACGGGAAUGAGACCCAGCCCAAAAUCCUACGGGGGGAAGGAGAGGGGAAUAUUGCACGAUGGGGGAAACCCUAAUGAAGCGACGCCGCGGGAGAGAAGAAGUAUGUCGGUAUGUAAAGCUAUAUCAGCAGAGAAGAAAAUGACGGUAACGGGCUAAGAAGCCCCGGCUAACUACGUG
rnacentral:rRNA from 1 species